rnacentral:lncRNA from 1 species
GAGUUUACAAUCGCUUCUCUUCAGAUCCACUUGAUCAUACCUAAACGUGGGAAGGGAACUGGCCAGACAACAGUGACAGCUGGCCAAGAACAUGGAGGGAGGCUAAACGCUGGUUCUGAUAUCAGAGCUGUGCCUUGAAGGACAUGCAGGAUCGCAGUAGGCAGAAGAACAGACAUGCUGUGCUUUGGGGAGGUACGGAACCCUCAGGAAAUUGGAGGGCAGUUCCUUCCGCUGGUGCUUGAAGGGUGCUGGUCACCUCGGACUGCGCUGAAUGGGUUUGGGAAGCAGGAAGGCCUGAGAGCAGGGAAGAGGGGUUGCCAGCUUCCUUCCGUUUCUCUCCCCGACUCCUCUUCCUGUGGUUCUGAGAAUCAGCUCCUCCUUCGAAGUGGAUGGAGGGACUUUCCUAGCCUCCUAUCUGGACUGAAGCUAGACAGACUGGAGCCUGCAACAAUGGCUUUCAAUCGAGAGCCAGAACUCGGACUUAGGGGCAGCAUUCUCCAUAGAGGAGGAAGGGACUGUAUUGUUACCUAUUUGUGGAAGGCCUCCACACAGAGCAUAAUGCUUCUAAUUAUAACCAGCUUCAGCAGGCUGCUUUCUCUUGUUACUGAUAUAAAACUCUGUUCAGGACACAUAUAUGCAUACAUGUGUCGUACAAAAUCUGAAUUAUUCAGCUGUACUCCUUGUUGGGGGUGAGAAUAACUGGAGGGCCUAUAGAGCAGUGUCUUGAAAUAAGUCAGAGAUUACAAACUCUUCUCUACGUAAAAUGUGAACAUGAUAUAAAGAAGGCUGAAGCCCCCUUGAUGAUAUAUUUAUGUUGCAGGUGUGUUUCCCCACUCAUCCCCCUCCCUUCUCCAUUGAGUCAACUAUUAUUAGUAUCGUGCUAUAUGUAAUUCCAGAAUUCUUUACUAUAUCUUUAUGUAGCUGAACAUAUGUAUCUGUGUCAUAUGUUCUUAUGGACUUGGAGGAUGAAGCAUGCCUUCUCAUAAUAUAGGAGACAGAAAGUUCAUUCCGAUACAAUGUCCUGUCGUCCUCACUAAAGAUAAGCCUUCAUUCUUGGUAAACUAACUACUAGUUCUACUUCUUAAAGAGGCAUGACUAGUUGAACCUGAGAUGCCCUCAUCUGAGUGUGAGCUAAAGGGAUGCUGCUUUCCCCUGAUAAUUUGUCUUCUUUUUUAAAAAAUUUCAAUAAAAUGGCAUAUUGGUGAUUGUCAAAUAUUAAAGAAA